UUGGAGGGCAAGUCUGGUGCCAGCAGCCGCGGUAAUUCCAGCUCCAAUAGCGUAUAUUAAAGUUGUUGCAGUUAAAAAGCUCGUAGUUGAAUUUCGGGGUCAGUAAGUUGGUCGUGCCUAUGGUAUGCACUGGCUUUACUGAUUCCUCCUUCUUGAAGAACUGUAAUGCCAUUAGUUUGGUGUUGCAGGGAAUCAGGACUGUUACUUUGAAAAAAUUAGAGUGUUUAAAGCAGGCUUACGCUUGAAUACAUUAGCAUGGAAUAAUGAAAUAGGACGUUGAUUCUAUUUUGUUGGUUUCUAGGGUUGACGUAAUGAUUAAUAGGGAUAGUUGGGGGCAUUAGUAUUCAAUUGUCAGAGGUGAAAUUCUUGGAUUUAUUGAAGACUAACUACUGCGAAAGCAUUUGCCAAGGAUGUUUUCAUUAAUCAAGAACGAAAGUUAGGGGAUCGAAGACGAUCAGAUACCGUCGUAGUCUUAACCAUAAACUAUGCCGACUAGGGAUCGGAUGAUGUUAAUUUUUUAAUGACUCAUUCGGCGCCUUACGGGAAAC
rnacentral:rRNA from 1 species